rnacentral:lncRNA from 1 species
AAGCAAUAGGUCUAUUAUAGUUGUUGUAUUGAAGAAUUGUUAGCUGUACAUGCCUGCCUGGCAUGGUUCAUCUGACCUUGACCUCAUUUUCAUGGUUCAGUGGUCAAUGUUUAGUUUUCUUGGUUAAUGUUUAGUUUAUGUGACAGUUGUAAUAAAGCUUUAUAUUUAGGACUAUCAACAUAAUAUCAACGAUUAGUAAAGAAGGCGAGACAUUUCAGUGUGUGCACUCUUGU